GAAGUAAAAGUCGUAACAAGGUCUCCGUUGGUGAACCAGCGGAGGGAUCAUUACAGGACGUCAUACUCCCGUAAUACCACUGUGAAUCUUACCUACCUUCGUUGCCUCGGCGGACGCCGCGCCUCCCGCUUGGGGGGCGCCGGGUCCACGUCCGCCGGCGGCCCGCAUACUCUGUCUCAGCGUGUUGGCAUCUCCGAGUACAAUACAAACGAGUCAAAACUUUCAACAACGGAUCUCUUGGUUCUGGCAUCGAUGAAGAACGCAGCGAAAUGCGAUAAGUAAUGUGAAUUGCAGAAUUCAGUGAAUCAUCGAAUCUUUGAACGCACAUUGCGCCCGCCAGCAUCCUGGCGGGCAUGCCUGUUCGAGCGUCAUUUCAACCCUCAAGCCCCUCGCGGCUUGGUGUUGGGGGCCUGCGCACCGCAGCCCCCUAAAGUCAGCGGCGGGCGCGGCCUGGCACCGAACGUAGUAGACUCUCUCUCGUUCGCGGUCCAGGGCGCGCUCCGGCCGGUAAAACCCCAAACUUUUUCAAUGGUUGACCUCGGAUCAGGUAGGAAUACCCGCUGAACUUAAGCAUAU
rnacentral:rRNA from 1 species